UCAGCCAGGCCCACCAUGCAAUAGACCAAGAUUGAUGGGAGUGCAGGCAUCAAAUCAAAGCAUUCCUUUGUUUCACUUGUUCAGACCUCUUUCUCUCAAUCAGACCUCUCACUGGCGCUCUACUCCGUCGCGCCAAAGGUGGAAGAGUUGAUCCCAACCACCAAAUAACCUCCUCAUAUUACUUGUCACAACAUCCUCUCCCUCAAUAUCACCUCAAUUUCAUUCGAAACGAGCUAAACCUUCAAGAACAUUAACUAUUGAAACUGAAAUUAAAUUGAAACAAAGGCUCGAACAAAGCUCAAACCUUAGGGGUUUGUCUCCUCUACAGAGUGGCUACAUGGCAUUAACACAAUUAGGAUAAGGAAGAGAAGUUAGGACGACCGACCUACAAGGCAGAGGCGAGCCUUGGUGCUCUGUUGAAGACGAAUAUGAUGGAGGUACAAAUCACAGAAACCCAAAGAUAUUUAGUGAUGCACAAAUGCCAACUUAUGCUUGGAAGAGUUCAAGAUAUGACAUGAAGGCAUCAUGAAGGUUCAAAGGUGAUGACUUGGAAACUUGGUUUUCUUGCACAUGAAGGAAAUUUGGAAUUGAAGUUAAGGGAGAAAAUGGAAGAAUGGAGAAACAAAAGUGGAAUUAUGGUUAGGUUUAGAAAUAGGUGGGUUGACUUUGGUCAACUGUUUGACCAAAAAGUCAAUAGUUGGCCGAAAGUCAACCUAUAACUUCCUUUUGCAAAUGGUUUUGUAUGGUUAGGACUUUGUUAUGAUUCAUGGUGAUGUAAUGAAAUGAACUUUGAUAUGAAAAUGAGCUUGGUUUUAAUGCAAAUGGAUAUGGACUUAAAUUCA